rnacentral:rRNA from 1 species
GCAGCAGCCGCGGGAAAACGUAGGUGGCAAGCGUUGUCCGGAAUUAUUGGGCGUAAAGGGCUCGCAGGCGGUUUCUUAAGUCUGAUGUGAAAGCCCCCGGCUCAACCGGGGAGGGUCAUUGGAAACCGGGAAACUUGAGUGCAGAAGAGGAGAGUGGAAUUCCACGUGUAGCGGUGAAAUGCGUAGAGAUGUGGAGGAACACCAGUAGCGAAGGCGACUCUCUGGUCUGUAACUGACGCUGAGGAGCGAAAGCGUGGGGAGCGAACAGGAUUAGAUACCCCCGUAGUCCCUGUCUCUUAUAC